UCUCUGGUAGUAUAUCGGUUAGUACACGUGCCUGUCAUAAAAAGACCGCAGUUUCAUGUGCGCGCGAAAGCUGGGUUCGACUCCCAGCCAGAGAG